UUGGGCUUUAUGGUGUACAGGAUGUUGGGCAGGAGUGAUUCUGGACCGAGGGAGCAAUAGAACGUAAUCACUCCAGCCAGGAAGGACCAAAACACCAUCAGAAUGUGAAGAUACCUAGAAUAACCAGCAGUUCUGGGAGAUAUGCUGCUUUAAGGCUGGAAUAUCAUUGGACCAUUGAGUUGACCUUACCAUCACUUCCAUUGGCAGCUUCCUGGUGUAACCCCCACAUACAGUGAGGAAUGUGCCAUCUGAUGUGCCGGUCUAGCGAUGGUUCUGUACUGCUGCUGCUCAAAUUUCGUGGCAACGUUUCCAGGACCUGAGCCCUAGGACCAUACGUCAGGACUACUGGGCAUGAUGACUCCUU